GCUCCCAUCGUCUAGCGGUUAGGACGCCGCCCUCUCAAGGCGGAAACAGGGGUUCGAAUCCCCUUGGGAGCG
rnacentral:tRNA from 1 species